rnacentral:rRNA from 1 species
UACGAAGGGGGCUAGCGUUGUUCGGAAUUACUGGGCGUAAAGGGCUCGUAGGUGGCCAACUAAGUCACACGUGAAAUCCCUCGGCUUAACCGGGGAACUGCGUGUGAUACUGGAUGGCUUGAGUUUGGGAGAGGGAUGCGGAAUUCCAGGUGUAGCGGUGAAAUGCGUAGAUAUCUGGAGGAACACCGGUGGCGAAGGCGGCAUCCUGGACCAAUACUGACGCUGAGGAGCGAAAGCCAGGGGAGCAAACGGG